CCAGACAAAGAAGAAGAAUGAUGCUCAGAUUCCUCUACAGUUUAUUGUUACAGCAGAAGUUGUAGAAGACAGGAGGGCACCCUCCACACAUAACACACUGUAGUCAGAGCCCCAAGGUGGCAG